AGGUAAUACUUAUAAGGAAACCUUUAUUUUUUGGCGGCUUUCAUAAAAUCAGAGAAACUUGUUUCUUAAUCGAUAACCCACGUUAUUUCUUACUUCUUUGUUUCUCCUAUACCGCCGUCCAUCGACCUAGCUUUAUCUCUAGCUCUCCACAAAAUAAUUCAUUAAAAAAUCAGGUCAAGGUGGGGUCCCAUAAAAGUGAAAAUGAGUUGCUAAUUAACUUUAUUAAAAGACUAUUUUUCUAAAGAAUAUACAAAAAAGGAUUUGAAAGUAGUUUAAAAUCAAUGAUCUUAGACUAAUUCGUUUAUUAAGUGU
rnacentral:rRNA from 1 species